rnacentral:rRNA from 1 species
UACGGAGGGGGCUAGCGUUGUUCGGAAUUACUGGGCGUAAAGCGCGCGUAGGCGGCUUUGUAAGUUAGAGGUGAAAGCCCGGAGCUCAACUCCGGAACUGCCUUUAAGACUGCAUCGCUAGAAUUGUGGAGAGGUGAGUGGAAUUCCGAGUGUAGAGGUGAAAUUCGUAGAUAUUCGCAAGAACACCAGUGGCGAAGGCGGCUCACUGGUCCGGUACUGACGCUGAGGUGCGAAAGCGUGGGGAGCAAACAGG